AUGGAUAAGGACGUGCAUGUAGUGGUUUUUGGAGCCGAGCAUUGUGGCUGGCUUGUGAGUGUGUCCAUUGGAGCUAGCUUGGGUAUAAAAAGCCCCCUGUGUACUCGAUGUAAAAGUGUUGCGGAAAUACCGCUGAUCGCUCAAAACAUUAGAUCGCUGGGAUCGGGAGAUCGGGUUGCUGGCCUGCUGCUCCCUGGCACGCGCCUGCCUCUGGUUCAUCUUGGGUGUCGUCCCCUUGCCGGAGGCGUGCCGGCGGUGGCGGCGUUCGCCGGUGGCUGCGCGGUGAAGCUCCGGGCCGUGUGUCGACCUGUGGAGGUGCGCGGCGCUGUGGCUGCCAUGGCGAACGCGGAUGCGACAUGCGGUGAGUCCAUGGCGUGUGGUGUGGUCGGGCUCGUCGGGCGCGUCGGGUGCGCGCGGGACGUGCGGGACGCACUGGUGCAGUCGGGCACGUCUGGGGCGUGCGGGACGUGCGGGGCGCCGAGGGACGUCAGGCGUGUGUCGCCGGUGGAGGAGGAGCUCGGCGUAUGUCGCCGGAGACGUGACGGAGCACAGUGGGACCGACGUGAGUGCGUCAGGUCGGGUCCGUGGCGGUGUGACCGGCGUCGUGGAGCCGAGCAUUGUGGCUGGCUUGUGAGUGUGUGCAUUGGAGCUAGCUUGGGUAUAAAAAGCCCCCCGUGUACUCGAUGUAAAAGUGUUGUGGUAUGUGCCGAGCCAGAGUUCGUUCUCAAUGAAAAAUUCGGCUGUUCGUGCGGCCGAGCUGCCGUUCGUGCGGCGGGGCGUAUGUGCGCCGGAAAUAUCGGUGUCCCUUUUCUUCCACCUACGUCCGAGCGAGUGAUACGUGUUGGCAGACCACCCCUGAAGCGGCCGCUGUGUGAUGGCAGGGUGUGCGUACUGGAGAAGAGCUUCAGGGGAUUUGCUAAAGAAGAACAGAGGUGUGAGAAGAGCCGACUGAGCGUCAAUUGGAUGAAGUGUAUGCAGGAAAUCGUCUGUGUCUGCUCGGGUGAGGAGAUAACAUGUGAAUGUGGGAAUUCUGAGCACAUGGGACUGCUGUGCUACAUGCUGUUAAGAUUCCUUGGAAACACAUUCUAUAAUGUUGGACGAGGGAUGCCAGGAAUAUCCUGCCGGAUCACCUUGCUCGCCUUCAGAAAGGCAAUUUGGCAAACAACUCUAAAAGGGGUGCAAUUGAAGAAGCGCAAUGGUGUGACGAAAGCGACAGGCACAGCUGAGUGCGGUACAAGCAAAUGCGCGCACUUCUGCGGUAUAUGCCGGCAACCAGGACACAGAAGUACAGCUUGUCCUCAGAGGGGCGACCUCCCUCUGAAACCAGAGAAGGAAUCCAAAUGCUCAAACCGUGGAGUCGGCAGCCAUCGUAAGAACAUGUGCAGCAAAGCGGAAGUUGUACAACAUGUUGUAGAUGAUGUCAACGUGGAUGAUCUCUGCCUGGGCUCGGCUUUUCCUCCUUUGGUUUGGAUGUUUUAUGUGGAUGAACUUCAAUUUUUUCCCAGUUGGGUGAGCGCUCCGUAG
rnacentral:rRNA from 1 species